GGGAGGGGGAGGUGGCGCUGGCCUAUAAAUCGGAGCAGCGGAGGCUCUGGGAAGCCGGGAAGUGUAGGGGGAAGGGUAGGAGCGAGAUCGCAAUCCGAAAGAGGAGGGAGACGAUGACAUUGAAGAGGACAGGGCAGGGGGGGCUGACUGAGCUCGGCUGUGCACUGUCCCAGUGGCAGCGCACCUUUGUGCCUGCGGUAUUCGGAGAGGACGCCUGUGGCGUCAGAAGAAGGAGCACCCAGAGCCGCAGGGCUGCUCCUGACAGGGCAGCUGGUCUAGUUCUCAGCCGUCACCUGCACUGUCCCGUGGGAUGUGUGCAUCUAAACCACCUCUGCUGGUGUUUGUCACCAGUCAGUUCGAAUUUGCAGUCUUUCACACCUUUCUGCUGUUCUGAGGAGUGGAACAGAAACGAAGCGUUCACGAGAUGGAAUGCAUUAUGACCCUUAGGGUUAUUGAGGUUUUAGAACGCCCAGGGCCCCAGAGAAUCAGCUCAGCAGGACAAGCCACUCGAGAAUGGAUGAUAGCAGAUACAGCAAACAGCUGCUCCACAGUGAGCUGGAGGUAGGACUAACUCAGGCCCUCCCAGCAGUCCAGGGUGCCAACGUGAGGACUAAGGCUGCUACAGACAUCCAGGGUGGGUAAGGACGCAGACCGCAGCUGCUUCAGGUGCUGUCAGGAGCCAGAAAAUCCAGGAAUGCAGUGGAGAAGAGGCGUGAGAAGCCAACUGGAUUCAAUGUCUCACCUUCAGGACACUCUUCUGACUCUGGGAAGCCCAGUCUUCUCAGGUGUAUUCUACAACCCUGGCGGCCAAGAUCUCCCCAAGACCAGCCUUUGCUACUGAGGACAACAGCCCAAGUUCAGGAGCACCAAGGCCUUUCCAAGGCUUCCCAAGACGCUGGGCUCCACGCUUCCUUCUCCGGUGCUAGAAGGGGACAAAGAUCCCAGUGGUGGGGGCUCCGGCCUCAGGAAACUGUUCCAAGGUCCUAGGGGACUGUCUCAUCCCGAUUCCCAUUUACUCUCUCUCACCUGUCUUGCACGUGUGUGCCCAUUAGAUU